UAGGGGUGCAAGUAGCAAAGGCCAAGAGAAGGAUUUGCAGACCCACGUACCUCAAAGACUAUGUCUGAAGAUGAUGGCGCUGAGUUGGCAGAGGGGAUUUGCAGGAUUUUGGUUGUCUUGCUGCUAAAGGCACGUCUCUAACGGAUUUCUGUUGAGAAUAUUCCUUAAUCAUUAGGAAAUUACAAUUAUGUCAGUAGUAGGCACUAUAUAAUCAUGUAAUGACCCAAGCAAGGAAUAACAAUAAAAAAUAUACUUGCCUGCCUUACUCUGCUUCCUUCUCCCUGUUCUUUCCUUCUUCUCGGAGGUUCUGGCCCUCUAAGCCCAGUUUCACGGUCCAGGUGUAUCAGGACACCAAAGCAACGUUUCAGGACAUCACGUAUUGGAACCACGACUACAUUCCUUCCCACAACGAUGAACUAUUCCGAGCUUUUCAUUGGCUUAUUGUUGCAAAUGCUGACUUACUAGUUAGGAGGGAGGGAACAAGCUAGGUAGCCUAUGUAUUACCUGCUUGGUCGCUUAUGCAUGGCAGUUCUUGUUGCGUGGAGGAUGCACUGCCAGAAGCAAAGAAUUAUGGCCCUUCUUUAUGCACUGGCUUCAGAUUUCAGCAAAUUCAUUCAAAGUUUUAAUGUAAAAAGGAAAUGUUGAUGGAAACAAAGCGACUUGUAUUUAAAUGAUUCUGAUUUGUGUGUCAAUUAUAGCAUCCACGUCCCAUUCAUUGAAUCUAAUAGUAGCAUAUGACAAAUAAAUUGAUUCAAAUAAUUCAAAAAGAUAUUUAAGUUAAUGUA